rnacentral:lncRNA from 1 species
UCAGAGCUGGCUGGCUGUCCAGCGGAUGGAGCGGCAGACGUGGAAUGCGGGUGUUCUCCGAGCAAGCCAAGCUGGCAAUGGAUGUAUAAAUAGAAGUCAGCAGUCAUUAGGAGCUUCCCGAGCUGAGAUCAUCUUCCCUCUAGCCAUCACGGCAGGCCCAGGCAAGUGCUAGGUCCAUGUCUGUGCCCCACAAGCAGCAAAGGUCAGCAGAACACGAGAGGGGCAGAGAGAAGAGCCAGAAAGUGAACUGAAAAUAACACCUGUGAGAAGCGAGAGCGACUGGGGUAUGCAACAUGGCAAGCAGCACGUCUGGGGGCCUCAGGCCUGGAGGUGCAGCUUUAGGCUCACUGCGGGAGCUGCUGCCCUGACACCUUCCAGCCGGCAUUGCAUACGCCCAGGAAAGGCGAACUGCUACCGGAUGACGUGGGGCGUGUGGUGCCCGUGUUUGGAGGCGCCAGCGCCGGGCUGCUGCAGGACACGGGUGAGGGCCUACGGGCAUGUUCAGGCCUGUGACACCUCUCAGGCAGGCUUGAGACUCAGAAUCCCACAACACUGGCCAGGAGUGCCAGGGCAGCGUCACGCUGUCCUGC